UACAGUGGCAAGACUGUCUCAAAAAACAAAGUUAAAAUUUUAUAGUACAGAUGGUUGUGCAUGCUCUUAGUUUCAGCAUUCCAGCACUUUGGGAGGCAAAGUCGUGGAGCGAGUGUUCCAGGCUAGCCAGAGCUCUGUGUUGAGACCCCCCCAUCUCAAUAAAUAAAUAAACACAAAUAAAUAUCAAGUCAGAGGAUUCUGAUUCCCAAGCAAGUCCUCAGUUUCAGUGCAGGCGCUGACUCCUGUAGCAAAGUGUCACCCAGGUGCAAGCCUGAGUCAGAGACGCAGAUGUGAUGUGGGGCAGGAAGGGUAAGUGAUGGUUAUGCAGGUGGGGUCCUGUUUACCCCACCGGCUCACAGGGACGCUCACUCACUCUAGCACUUUAUGCAACGUGAGCCAGCUGUUCCUGAAUGCUUAGUCUGCUUUCUGCUCAGUGCUGCCCAGACCUCCUUUAUCCCUGUCAUUAUGUAAAUAAUCAUAAAAGACCAGGGCAGAUCGGGUGCUACGUUUCUCCAAGGGAAAGAACUACAAAUAACCGCAUAGUACUAUACCAAGGAAAAAGCUCUACUUUCCACACGAAAAAAGCAACAAGAGCUUUUUCCAGUCCGAGGCUCAGCUACCUGUGUGCUGCAGGUGACCGGGAUGAGUGGUGGAGGUCGCUCAUCCGAGUCUUUUAUGGCAGGUGUUACUAUUUUUAUUAUCUCAGGUUUCAUUUUAUAUAAUAAACUGCUUUUUACAGUAUCUCCUACCUGGUUACUUUAUUGACCUUGUUUAUUACGUGCAUGUGUGUACUGUGUACUACUGUGCACCUGUGCAUGUCAGAAGAGUCCACUUUCUUUCUACCAUGGGGUCUUCAGGGACUGAACUCAUCAAAACUUAGUGGCAACACCUCUGUUCACCAAUUGAGACAUUUUGCUGGCCUGUAUUUGCUUACUUUGGCGGUGGUUGAGGGUGAUAAAGUUGGAGACUUGUAAAAAACAAUGGUAAAC
rnacentral:lncRNA from 1 species